GCCUCUGCAGUCAAAUCAUCACAGUGGAUGGCAACAAGCAUCAGAGUCCUGUCUGACCAAUCAGAUUCGAUGUCUGGUUUUCCCUCUCUCCCCUCAUUUCUCACGUCUCUCUGUGACUCAUUCUGACACACUCCACAUCCGGAUGAAAGAGACGGCGUCCCACGGGAAGAGACACGGAGACAGAGCCGAGGAGUGUCUGUAUGACUCUGGCCUUUGGUUCAGUUUAGGUUACACAAACGUGCCUCGUCCUCGAGUCUCCGUGACCCAGACCCAGAUCACGAGAGCCCCGUAUCUCAGGCAGAUGAGCUUAUCUUGACCUACUUUCUGCUUGCUGCGACGUGCUUAUUUGGACCUUGACACUAACACCGGGUCUUUUCAGGUGAAUUCAGAGCGAAACGUAGACGUUAGUGAGCUCUCCGUGACUCAUAAAGUGUUGCAGAUAUAAGUGUCACGUCAUCGUUCAAAACACAUUGCUUCAGCUUGUCCUGACGUUCAGAAGACACCAGUGUGUAACUAGCGUUUCUGUAAAUAUAUGCCCACAAGAAGGAAAAAAUACAAGUG
ensembl:lncRNA